rnacentral:rRNA from 1 species
GUGUCAGCAGCCGCGGUAAUACCGGCGGCUCGAGUGGUGGCCACUAUUACUGGGCUUAAAGCGUCCGUAGCUGGUCUGUUAAGUCUCUGGGGAAAUCUACCGGCUUAACCGGUAGGCGUCUCAGGGAUACUGGCAGACUAGGGACCGGGAGAGGUGAGGGGUACUCCAGGGGUAGGAGUGAAAUCCUGUAAUCCUUGGGGGACCACCUGUGGCGAAGGCGCCUCACCAGAACGGCUCCGACAGUGAGGGACGAAAGCUGGGGGAGCAAACCGGAUUAGAUACCCGGGUAGUCCCAGCUGUAAACGAUGCGCGUUAGGUGUAUCGGUGACCACGAGUCACCGAGGUGCCGAAGGGAAACCGUGAAACGUGCCGCCUGGGAAGUACGGUCGCAAGGCUGAAACUCAAAUGAAUUGACGGGG